ensembl:lncRNA
ACUCCAGCCCUGCUUUCCUCCCACGCUCCGCCGGAGCCUUCCAUCCAGAGCGGGCCAUCACACACACCUGUCGAUUCCAGCCAGCCCAGUGGGCUCAGCAGAGAAAGCAAGACAGCCCGCACCCCACGAUGCAAGCUCCUGGGAGGGGCACGUUUCCUUGUUUAUCCAGAGAGGCUGGCACAGCCAAUCUGGGGUUCCCCUCCCUUUCUCUGAGGUCGUAGCUCAGCCUGGGGGCUGUGCAACACCAGCCCUUGAGGAGGAAGCCAUUUGUUUCUGGAAUCACCGGUCCCCCCGGUAUAUGAGGCAUAUCCCUGAUUGUCCGUGAAAUCAGGUGGUCCAGGGCCAGGUUGGUCCAUAGAGGUAGCUGUAAGACAUCCUCUGCUCCUGCCCAGGGAUUUCCUCGUAUCUGGAAGCUCUUUCUGCUGCUUGAUUUGGUGCCUAUCAUGGGAAUUUUCGUGGUCUUGAUCCUCGCACACCACCAGCCCUUUCUGGAGUCUUACUGCCCUCCUCGGGGCCCUGAGCAAGACGCAGGGCUGUCUGGGAUUUACAGAGAGCAACAGGAAGACAGCCAUCUGCAAACCAGCAAGCCGACCUUCAGCAGAUGCUGCUUCUCCUGGCACCUUGAUCUUGGACUUCCCGGCCUCCAGAACUAUGAGAAAGAAAUAUUUAAGAUUUCCAGUCUGCAAACCAGCAAAUGGGCCCUCACCAGACACUGCCUCUCAUGGCCCCUUGAUCUUGGACUUCCCAGCCUCCAGAAACGUGAGAAAGAAAUGUUUUAAGUUUCCCAGUCUAUGAGAAUUUGUUAGAACAGCCCAAACUGACUAAGACACUCACUAACAUGGUAUAUUACCAAUCUCUUAUAUUUUGCCAGUCUGAUAGGUGAAGUUACUCAUCUGCAUACAGUCAUUUCUUCUUCUCUGAGUCUCCUGUUCGUGUUUCAUAUGCAUUUUAAAAAUCAAGUUGCUUUGCAUUUUUAUUGAUUUAUAGAAGGUCUUUAUGUAUUCUGGAAAGUAAUCCUGUAUUUUUGACGCUCACUUCUACUCAUCCUAAUACUUUUGAGAAGAUUGGUUGGACCCUCAUUGGAUGCAGCAAGAGACAGGAAGGCAACUCAGGCAGCAAUCCGUGGCAGGCUGACCAACAGCCAGACACACAGGCAGAUUCACCAAGUCAGCAGAAGAACGAGCUUUCCUUUCUUCUAGGGUUGGGAUUCUCUAACAGCAGAGAUGGCACUAAACAGGAGACGUGGGCAAUAUUUGGUCUGUUUACCCUGUGACUACAUCGUUGGCAGAUAGAUACAACAGACCUGCAGUCCCCAAGAAUGUUUUGAAUUUUUUUUUUUUUUUUUGUGAGAGGGUCUUGCUCUGUUGCCCAGGCUGGAGUGCAGUGGUAUGAUCAUGACUCAUGCAGCCUUGACUCCCAGGCCCAAGCAAUCCUCCCACCUCAACCUCCUGGGUAGCUGGGACUACAGGUGUGCACUGCAACACCUGGCUAAGUUGUGUGUGUGUGUGUGUGUGUGUGUGUGUUUUGAUUUUGUUUGUUUUUUUUGAGAUGGAGUCUUGCUCUGUUGCACCCAGGCUGGAGUGCAGUGGCGUGAUCUAGGCUCACUGCCACCUCCACCUCCCUGGUCAACUGAUUCUCCUGCCUCAGCCUUCUGAGUAGCUGGGACUACAGGCGCAUGCCACUAUGCCCGGCUAAUUUUUUUUGCAAUUUUUUUUUUUUAGUAGAGACAGGAUUUCACCAGGAUGGUUUCAAUCACCUCACCUCGUGAUCCGCCUGCCUCGGCCUCCCAAAGUACUGGGAUUGCAGGUGUGAGCCACCACGCCUGGCCCAGUUUUGUAUUUUUAUAGAGGUGUGGUUUCACCAUGUUGCCCGGGCUGGUCUUGAACUCCUGGGCUCAAACAGUCUGCCCACCUGGGCCUCCCCAAGUGCUCAGAUGACAGGCAUGAGCCACUGCACGUGGCCAUCCCAAGAAUGUUUUGAGUGCUCAGGCUCAGUGCAGACUCUUGUUGACUCCCUAGGUUCAUCCCAUUAUAAGUUGACUCUUGGACAUUGCACAGAUGCUUCUCAAAUUCCUCCAAGAUCUUACUUGCCUCGUUUGCGUGUGGUUUAUGGUACUGGCAACACGAGGGUGCCAGAAUGGAGGCAAUCUGUAACAAUAGCUUCACGGUUCCAUUUGCUGGAAUAGUAAUUGCGUUCUAGGUUCAGCCACGCUUGUGGUUACGCAAAUGUCAGCACUUUGCAACCUCCUCCUCCUUAGGUUGUGUGUCUGUCAAGCGUCUCCUCAGAGUUCACUGACUUCAGUAUUUUGAUUUCUACUAACUAACCCAAGAUACUUCCCUCCUCUCAUAAAUAGUUUUACUGUAUGGGCCGAAUGCAGUGUCUCACGCCUGUAAUUCCAGCACUUUGGGUGGCCAAGGGGGACGGAUCACCUGAGGUCAGGAGUUCGAGACCAGCCUGGCCAACAUGGUGAAAUGGUGGCUCUAUUAAAAAUACAGAAAUUAGCUGGGCAUAGUGGCAGGCACCUGUAAUCCCAGCUUCUCAGGAGGCUGAGAUAAGAGAAUUGCUUCAACGUGGGAGGCGGAGGUUGCUGUGAGCCGAGAUUGAGCCACUGCAUUUCAGCCUGGGGAAUGGGGCAAGAUCCUUGUCUCAAUAAAUAAAUAAAUAAAUAAAU